AAAAGUGCAGUUUAGUCUUAGUAAAAUGCACACAAAAAUUUGAGCAUCAGACUUAAGAGUUGAGAUCAGUCGCUAAUAUUUGUCAAAACUGUGAACUUGCAAUAGACCAAUGCACUAGAACAGAACAUUUCAUGGUAAGAUGAUUAUAUGAAUAUCAUGAAUGCUAAAAAGACCAAAUAAAAUAUCACUUUUUGUUUCCUUUUUUUUGUCUUCUAGCCUUCUAGGUUGUAAUCCAAUAACACUUGAUUCUAUGCACAAACAUCUGCUUUUAUUUGCCAGGCUAUUACUUUCACCUUGUUGAGAUAUAGGAAACUCAAAAGACAUUAUGUGUCUCAUGAAUACAAUUGUUGUCUAGCAUGAUAAUUGUUGUUCAUUUUUCUGUGCAUAGUACCAAUUUAAUGAAAUAAUAUAACCUGCAAAUUUUCUUUAAUAGUCAAUGACAUUCUCAUGGCAUGGCUUGAAUCUUUAUUCUUCACAAUUUACCAAGGUAUGCAUGCUUUAACUCUUUAAUUAAUUACACCAAACACAGGACCAGAUCUUAGGGUGAAACACAAAUAGUUAAAUUGACCUUACCAUGCUAUGACCAACAUGAGUCCAUUCUCUCCCAAGGUCUUAUUGUUUGGUUUAGAGUGCUGAUAAAUUUUUGGUGCUUCUCCCUACAAUCAGUAAUAGCAUACUAAAAGUACCUUUGAACUAGAAACCUUAUGAUAUUAUUUUUCCACAAUAAAUUAUUGGUGCUUCUCCCUGUAUAUCAGAGGUUAUAAUCACUCCUGAGCACAACGAAGAAGGGAUUUACACAGUCAGAUUCUACAUUCAGCGAAGAUGCAGGCUAUCUGCUGCUAAUGUUGCUACCGAAGAAAUGAACUUCAUACUUUUAUGUAGAGGCAACACUUACUAAUAUGAUGCUCGAAUUUGUGAUGAAUGAUGUGUGUGUGUGUGUGCUAUUUUUGGACCAGUAUUUAAAACUGACAACCAUGAAGUUUUGGUACACAUGAAUCCCAAGCACUUUGUGUAACAUAUGGCUAAACAAAAACAUUGAUGUCUGAUUUGUGAUCCAGUUUAUUUUGAUGUCAAUUUAUUAUACAUGUAUAUAUCUUUGCAAUGACUUCUUAUGUA